rnacentral:rRNA from 1 species
CUACGGUGAAUACGUUCCCGGACCUUGCACACACCGCCCGUCAAGCCAUGGGAGCCGGGUGUACCUAAAGUCGGUAACCGUAAGGAGCCGCCUAGGGUAAAACUGGUGACUGGGGCUAAGUCGUAACAAGGUACCC